UACGAGGGGGGCAAAUGUUGUUCGGAAUCACUGGGCGUAAAGGGAGCGUAGGCGGGUUUUUAAGUCAGGUGUUUAAUCCCGGGGCCCAACCCCGGACAGGCACUUGAAACUGGAAAUCUUGAAUAGGGGAGAGGUCAGUGGAAUUGGAGGUGUAGCGGUGGAAUGCGUAGAGAUCUCCAAGAACACCAGUUGCGAAGGCGGCUGACUGGACCCAUAUUGACGCUGAGGCUCGAAAGCAUGGGGAGCAAACAGG
rnacentral:rRNA from 1 species